UUUUUGUGAAAUAAAAUUAAAAUUCAUGAAUUUUUAGUAAUAAAUUAAAGUUAUAGGACAAAAGUGAAACACAGAAUAAAAUUCCAGGACGAACUAGAAAAAUUACCUCAAAACUUGGAUUGAAGUUUGCUUGAUAUCUAGUCGUGGGCUCUCGUAGUUCCUCUCUUUAGAAACUUCAAUGGCUUGUUGUUGCUUGGGAUUUGGAUUGAUCCUAGCAACAAAUAUUGCACCAAGAUCGGUGCCUAAUGCAUUUCAUUUGGAAAGCCAAGUUUGCUG
rnacentral:misc_RNA from 1 species